GACGAACGCUGGCGGCGUGCUUAACACAUGCAAGUCGAACGGAAAGGCCCGGCUUUUGUUGGGUGCUCGAGUGGCGAACGGGUGAGUAACACGUGAGUAACCUGCCCCUGACUUUGGGGUAACUUCACGAAACUGGGGCUAAUACCGGAUAGGAUCUCCUGCUCCAUGGUGUGGGUUGGAAAUUUUCGGCGGUUGGGGAUGUACUCGCGGCUUAUCAGCUUGUUGGUGUGGUAGUUGCUUACCAAGGCUUUGACGGGUAGCCGGCCUGAGAGGGUGACCGGCCACAUGGGGACUGAGAUACGGAGCAGACUCCUACGUGAGGCAGCAGUGGGGAACAUUGCAGAAUGGGGCGGAGCCUGAUGCAGCAACGCUGCGUGCGUGAUGACGGCCUUCGGGUUGUAAACCGCUUUCGCCUGUGACGAAGCGUGAGUGACGGUAAUGGGUCAAGAAGCACCGGCUAACUACGUG
rnacentral:rRNA from 1 species